AGGGACAUGGUCGGCGCCCGGCGUGAUCAACUCCAGCGGAGUUGCGAGGAGGGGAGAGCCAUCGGCGUGAUGGGCGAACACCGGUAGACUAUAACUUAACACGGCGCUGUCGAGUAAGUGACAUAAAUAUGACUGUAAAGAUAGGCUACAACUGAUCAAAGCUCAACGCAUGUUAAAUUAGAUAUGACUGUUUAAUAAAAUGCAAAUAUUCCACAAUCUGUUUUGCAAACAUAAUUAUCGUAUUUAGGCCCACUGUUUAGACUAAGCGAAUCAUCCCUACUGACUAGCCUGUAUCUCUGCCUUGUAAAUUCAAAAACAUUUAAUACACUGAUCUUCAUCAACUAUAUCACUCAAGUGGAAAAAAACAUUAUGUGACAUAAUAAAUAAAAUUAACCCUAAAUCUUUGUGGACACGAAAGAUCGAGCACAAACAAGAGUAACAAAACAAAAACAGGUCACACGUCUGCUUUUGCGGUGUAAUGAAUUUGCUACACUGUCCCACUGGGUGAGUGGAUGUCGCGCCUUGUGGGACGGCGCUCUGCCGCAGGCUGCCGGUGGCACGUAACGGAGGGGACGGCGGAACGCCCACGCGGCCCGCGGGGGACGGAAAGCGCAGCUCUGCCGCUCCGAAAGACGGCGCGGACGUAAAUCCUUCGGCUAAACUAGGCGAGAGUCCAUAUUUUCUCUAAAUGUGUUUCUCUUCUAUUUCCCGUCAAAGAGAGAGAGAGAGAGAGAUUUCCAGGUCUCCUUUAUUGGCGGUGGGAGGGAAGCAGACUGAGACAUCUCAAAAAAUACCCAGCCAUUUAUCUUCUGAUGUAUAACAGGUGCAGCCGGUCGAGCUUGGCCGUGGAGACAGCUUGUUGCUCCAGGAUACCACAUCCUCCUGUCCUUCUUCCAUCUCUUCUUCGCCAGGGUCCCUCAGGAGUGGAACACAGUCCCAUUGGGUGUGAUCCGGGCGUUCGGCUGGCAAAUGUGUGGUUCUGCUCUUGCCGUUCGAGGUGCAGUAUCUGGGGCACAAGGGACAGGCUACUGAUAUCAUCAUAGAAAGGCUUCAGCUCAGCACAGCCGAAACCCUCCUAGAUGUUGUGCCACUUCCUGCUUGUGGGAGUUCAUGAUCCCAGCAGUGGCACCCAUGGAAACAGCCCGCAGCAAUGUGACCAGAGGGAGGACAGCGCUGCUCCCGCUAGGCCUGUUAGGGACAGAGAUCUCCGCCUGCUCUGUCACUCCUGCAGCUCUGGAGAUUCCACCGGUCUCCAUGGUGACCCGCUGGGAUUCCGGAUUCCUCCAGUGCACGUUACUCCGCCUGGUGAAGACUGGAGAUUUACUACCUGACUGGAUCACGCCUUCUACACAACCCCACCCUGAUACCAUCUCACAAUUGUGCAGUCACAAAAAUAAACUAUGAGCUAUUUCUCUAUAUAACUAGUUUAUUUGUAUAACUUUAUUCACCUGUGGGUCUCCUUGCCGGAGUCUUUCAGUAGCUCAUGCUGUCCCGGCUAUUUACCUUCACACGUUACUCUAAACCAUUAACACACAUAUCUGUAGGUCUUUUCUCUCCCUUUUAUUUAGUUCUGGUUCACCCUAUUCUACCACUAACACAGAAACAGCUGGCUCCGGCCUUUGACAUCAAUCAGCAAUAAUGGAAUAAAGAAAUAA